rnacentral:rRNA from 1 species
GAUAAACGCUGGCGGCGCACAUAAGACAUGCAAGUCGAACGGAAGCCGUUUAAAUUUAAAUGAAGUGAUUUGAGGAUUUAUCCGAUUUGAAACGAUUUUAUUUUUAGACAUAUGACUUUAGUGGCGGACUGGUGAGUAACGCGUAAGCAAUCUGCCUAUCAGAGGGGAAUAACAGUGAGAAAUCAUUGCUAAUACCGCAUAUGCUCAAGUAUCACAUGGUACAAUGAGGAAAGGAGUAAUCCGCUGAUAGAUGAGCUUGCGUCUGAUUAGAUAGUUGGUGGGGUAACGGCCUACCAAGUCGAUGAUCAGUAGCCGGACUGAGAGGUUGAACGGCCACAUUGGGACUGAGAUACGGGCCCAG